CCAAUAGCGUAUAUUAAAGUUGUUGCAGUUAAAAAGCUCGUAGUUGAAUUUCGGGAUCAAUAUAACGGUCAUGCCGUUGGUGUGCACUGUUAUAAUUGAUUUCUCACCUUCUAAAGAACCGUGAUGCCAUUAAUUUGGUGUCACGGGGAAUUAGGACUGUUACCUUGAAAAAAUUAGAGUGUUUAAAGCAGGCUCACGCUUGAAUACAUUAGCAUGGAAUAAUGAAAUAGGACAUCCGAUUCUAUUUUGUUGGUUUCUAGGAUCGAUGUAAUGAUUAAUAGGGAUAGUUGGGGGCAUUAGUAUUCAAUUGUCAGAGGUGAAAUUCUUGGAUUUAUUGAAGACUAACUACUGCGAAAGCAUUUGCCAAGGAUGUUUUCAUUAAUCAAGAACGAAAGUUAGGGGAUCGAAGACGAUCAGAUACCGUCGUAGUCUUAACCAUAAACUAUGCCGACUAGGGAUCGGAUGAUGUUAAUUUUAUAAUGACGCGUUCGGCACCUUACG
rnacentral:rRNA from 1 species